rnacentral:rRNA from 1 species
GAUGAACGCUGACAGAAUGCUUAACACAUGCAAGUCCACUUGAAUUUGGGUUUUUAACUUAGGUUUGGGUGGCGGACGGGUGAGUAACGCGUAAAGAACUUGCCUCACAGCUAGGGACAACAUUUGGAAACGAAUGCUAAUACCUAAUAUUAUGAUAAUAGGGCAUCCUAUAAUUAUGAAAGCUAUAAGCGCUGUGAGAGAGCUUUGCGUCCCAUUAGCUAGUUGGAGAGGUAACGGCUCACCAAGGCGAUGAUGGGUAGCCGGCCUGAGAGGGUGAUCGGCCACAAGGGGACUGAGACACGGCCCUUACGCCUACGGGAGGCAGCAGUGGGGAAUAUUGGACAAUGGACCAAGAGUCUGAUCCAGCAAUUCUGUGUGCACGAUGAAGUUUUUCGGAAUGUAAAGUGCUUUCAGUUGGGAAGAAAGAAAUGACGGUACCAACAGAAGAAGUGACGGCUAAAUACGUG